UACAGAGGGGGCAAGCGUUGUUCGGAAUUACUGGGCGUAAAGGGCUCGUAGGCGGCCAACUAAGUCGGAUGUGAAAUCCCCAGGCUCAACUUGGGAACUGCAUCCGAUACUGGAUGGCUUGAAUUCGGGAGAGGGAUGCAGAAUUCCAGGUGUAGCGGUGAAAUGCGUAGAUAUCUGGAGGAAUACCGGUGGCGAAGGCGGCAUCCUGGACCGACAUUGACGCUGAGGAGCGAAAGCCAGGGGAGCAAACGGG
rnacentral:rRNA from 1 species